rnacentral:rRNA from 1 species
UACGGAGGGGGCUAGCGUUGUUCGGAAUUACUGGGCGUAAAGCGCACGUAGGCGGACUGUUAAGUCGGGGGUGAAAUCCUGGGGCUCAACCUCAGAAUUGCCUCCGAUACUGGCAGUCUCGAGUGCGGGAGAGGUGAGUGGAAUUCCCAGUGUAGAGGUGAAAUUCGUAGAUAUUCGCAAGAACACCAGUGGCGAAGGCGGCUCACUGGCCCGGUACCGACGCUGAGGCACGAAAGCGUGGGGAGCAAACAGG